GCUUAGAUAGUUUAAUUAAAAUACUGGGUUGUGGACUCAGAGAUAUAAAUAUAGUUUUAUUAUAAGCA
rnacentral:tRNA from 1 species